UACGUAGGGGGCAAGCGUUGUCCGGAUUUAUUGGGCGUAAAGAGCGUGUAGGCGGCCAGACAGGUCAGCUGUGAAAACUCGAGGCUCAACCUCGAGAUGUCGGCGGAAACCGUCUGGCUAGAGUCCGGAAGAGGAGAGUGGAAUUCCUGGUGUAGCGGUAAAAUGCGCAGAUAUCAGGAAGAACACCUAUGGCGAAGGCAGCUCUCUGGGACGGUACUGACGCUGAGACGCGAAAGCGUGGGGAGCGAACAGG
rnacentral:rRNA from 1 species